AUUGAACGCUGGCGGCAGGCUUAACACAUGCAAGUCGAGCGGAGAUGAGGUGCUUGCACCUUAUCUUAGCGGCGGACGGGUGAGUAAUGCUUAGGAGUCUGCCUAUUAGUGGGGGACAACAUUCCGAAAGGAAUGCUAAUACCGCAUACGUCCUACGGGAGAAAGCAGGGGAUCUUCGGACCUUGCGCUAAUAGAUGAGCCUAAGUCGGAUUAGCUAGUUGGUGGGGUAAAGGCCUACCAAGGCGACGAUCUGUAGCGGGUCUGAGAGGAUGAUCCGCCACACUGGGACGGAGACACGGCCCAGACUCCUACGGGAGGCAGCAGUGGGGAAUAUUGGACAAUGGGCGGAAGCCUGAUCCAGCCAUGCCGCGUGUGUGAAGAAGGCCUUUUGGUUGUAAAGCACUUUAAGCGAGGAGGAGGCUACCUAGAUUAAUACUCUGGGAUAGUGGACGUUACUCGCAGAAUAAGCACCGGCUAACUCUGUGCCAGCCGCCGCAGUAAGAC
rnacentral:rRNA from 1 species